CGUAAAGACGCAUGCAGGUGGUUUGUUAAGUCAGAUGUGAAAGACCCGGGGCGUCAACCUCGGAAUAGCAUUUGAAACUAGGCAGACUAGAGUACUGUAGAGGGGGGUAGGAAUUUCAGGUGUAGCGGUGAAAUGCGUAGAGAUCUGAAGGAAUACCGGUGGCGAAGGCGGCCCCCUCGGACAGAUACUGACACUCAGAUGCGAAAGCGUGGGGAGCAAACAGGAUUAGAUACCCUGGUAG
rnacentral:rRNA from 1 species